rfam:Oreochromis niloticus linkage group LG20, whole genome shotgun sequence.
CUGCGGUGCGGUUCUGGUGUGCAAAGGCUGCAGACAGCGACUCUUUGGUUGUGUAUGUCCUCAGCUGGGAGGUGCUGAGUGCUUUAAGGGACCACUGAGACAAAA